CACUCCUGCGGGAGGCAGCAGUGGGGAAUUUUGGACAAUGGGCGAAAGCCUGAUCCAGCCAUGCCGCGUGCAGGAUGAAGGCCUUCGGGUUGUAAACUGCUUUUGUACGGAACGAAACGGCCUUUUCUAAUAAAGAGGGCUAAUGACGGUACCGUAAGAAUAAGCACCGGCUAACUACGUGCCAGCAGCCGCGGUAAUACGUAGGGUGCAAGCGUUAAUCGGAAUUACUGGGCGUAAAGCGUGCGCAGGCGGUUAUGUAAGACAGUUGUGAAAUCCCCGGGCUCAACCUGGGAACUGCAUCUGUGACUGCAUAGCUAGAGUACGGUAGAAGGGGAUGGAAUUCCGCGUGUAGCAGUGAAAUGCGUAGAUAUGCGGAGGAACACCGAUGGCGAAGGCAAUCCCCUGGACCUGUACUGACGCUCAUGCACGAAAGCGUGGGGAGCAAACAGGAUUAGAUACCCCAGUAGUCCCAUGA
rnacentral:rRNA from 1 species